UGGGGAAUUUUGGACAAUGGGCGCAAGCCUGAUCCAGCCAUGCCGCGUGCAGGAUGAAGGCCUUCGGGUUGUAAACUGCUUUUGUACGGAACGAAAAGACUCUUUCUAAUAAAGAGGGUCCAUGACGGUACCGUAAGAAUAAGCACCGGCUAACUACGUGCCAGCAGCCGCGGUGAUACGUAGGGUGCGAGCGUUAAUCGGAAUUACUGGGCGUAAAGCGUGCGCAGGCGGUUAUGUAAGACAGAUGUGAAAUCCCCGGGCUUAACCUGGAACUGCAUUUGUGACUGCAUAGCUAGAGUACGGUAGAGGGGGAUGGAAUUCCGCGUGUAGCAGUGAAAUGCGUAGAUAUGCGGAGGAACACCGAUGGCGAAGGCAAUCCCCUGGACCUGUACUGACGCUCAUGCACGAAAGCGUGGGGAGCAAACA
rnacentral:rRNA from 1 species